GACACGUGUCACCCCUCCUCCCUUUCACUGCCACAUCCAGCUGGGCACCAGAGACUUGGGGUCACGUGAGAUCCAAGUCCUCACCAGGAAGCUGACCUAAACCAGGCUCCUGCUGUCCUUGGCAACUUCCUGUCCACCAUUCUGCCUCCUUCCUCAUCUCCAGUCAGGCUGUGGUGCUCCAUUUUGUCUCUGCUGUGCUCCCACUUCAUCUGUUCCGUGAGAUCCCUCCCCUUGUCACUGUGUUAACGUGCACCCCGUGUACUUACCCCCUUCAGUCUUCGCCCCUGAAGCUGAAAUCUGGGUCACCACCUGUUCUGACUUUGAAGCUGAGAAUGACUUUUCUGUUUCUAAAUCAUGGGAAAAUAGCAGGAGAAAACCGUUUUGUACCAGGAGAAAUACACAUGGAACCCUAAGUUCUGUGUCUGAAUGAAGCUUCCUGGGAGCAGAGCCGACCUGUUUCCUUGCAUUUUCAUUCACUGUCGCUUUUGCAGAAUGGAGGGGUUUGUAGCACAGACCACGCUGCAGAGCUGCUGGCACAGUGGAAAAUGCUCGCUGUCCGGAACUUUGACACUAGGACCCCGGCUCCAUCUCCUUACCCUAACUUAUAACCCUUCUCUCAUCCUGGCUCUGUUUGCUUGUGUGCUGCUUUGUCUGUCCAUUUCACUGGCACAAAAGCUUGGAGGUGGCUGGGGCAGAGUGAGCUCAAAACUGUGCCCCCAACUCAUAAACCAUGCCUGGCACAUACUUGGUGCUCACUGGUAUUUGCUGAAUGAAUAAAUGCAUGAAUGAAUGUGUGUCCACGUACAGUGUUAGGAGUAAGGGAUACAGCGCUUCUGUUUGAAUUUCCAGCUGUGUCUCCUGCUAGUAGCAUGCCCUAAGGCCACUUUUAAAGUUUGUCCUAAGCUUUAGGGCAGUGACAAUAGCUCCCCUUAGAGUUGUCCCCUGCCCCCAAGGAAAUGAUGGAUGCACCCCACCUGCUGUGGCAGGUGCUCAUCAGGGGAGAAGCUCAGCAGAGCUUCGGGCUGCUCCUGAGCCCCUAGGACUGACAGACAGGUCAGAAUCAGCACAGCCAGGCUCCAUGUUCCUGAUGGCUGCCCCCUCCAAGCUGCGCCAGAUAGGAUCUCCAGCCUUCAGCUCCUUGUCUCGUUUUCUGUGUCUGUCACUUUCUCUGCAAGGUAGCAGAGGUUUACUGAGGCUUAUUGGUAAUCCACGGUCAGCUGACUCCAAGGCAGAAGCAGCCUGGUGGAGAGAAGCUGCUCACCUCAUGGCGGCCAGGAAACCGAAAGGGGAAGAGGUUUCUCGUCCGGACUGGCCUCUGUAAGGACCAUUCCUGCUGCAUUGUGACGUGGUCAUUGCUUCUGGCUAGCAACUUGGGAUGGGCAGGGUGGUCACCACGCAGAUGCUGGUUAGGAUGAGGACCUGCCCAGUGACCUGCUCUUGAACUGCCUCGGAACCCAGCCACCUUCCCCUGGAGCUUCUGAAGAAUGGCAGCUCCAGUGCCUUCAACUUCUGCAGAACCCUUGGCCAUUUCUCAGGCAGCCCCUGGGGUCCUUUCAGAGAGGCCAACUCAUAGCAGAAGUGUCCCGAGGACAGGUGGGUACUAGCUGGGGAAGGAAGAGAGCAAGUCAUAAUGGGGAUGGGCUCACACCUGUCCCCACUGUCCCAGGUGAGGUUUGAGGGCUCUCACUUGAAGACAGGGGGAAAAGGUCACAGUUUGCUGGUGGUCUGGAGCCUGCAGUCCUGUGCCCUUUGGUCCCUUCCAUCCCUGUCUGAAGCUGCAGCAGCCUCAGGUAUGCAGUCCCCAGGGGGCUUGCAUCUCUGGCUCCCCAGUGUACAGUCACCGGAUGUGGGGGACACAGGGUUAAGAUAGUGCUGCCCACAAGGACUUUGUGUGUCUGUGGUCACUUUCAGCAGCCUCUACCACACAUGGCUGUCACCUACCCCAGGACUAAUGUGACCAAGGAGCACUUUAGUACUUUUCAAAUUCCAAGAGCCUCAGAGGCUGACAGCUGCCACACCGGACAGGUGAGGGAGAUUUUCAGAAGAACAAAGGGAGAGGGAACUGAAUACACACACAGGUGCUGUGUUGGUGUCCGAUGACUUUGCAGAGCCUUGCUGGGAUCUAAUUCCAGAUUAACUGGUUCCUGUAGAGAGGGCUGACCCGAGUCUCAGGGCUGCAGCCGGUUCCUUCUUUCCUUGUAGGGAGUGGCCAGGUCCCACCAUUUAGAUCUCCUGAGCAAUUUGAUGCCAGGGAGAGCUGUUGACAGAUUUUGGAAGGCAUGAAGUGUUUUGGGUUGGUUGGUUUGGUGUGGGUUUUUUUGUUUUGUUUUGCGUUUGUUUUGGGGUUUUGUUUUUGUUCUGUGUUUUGUUUUUGUAUGGGCCCCAUUUGCAUAGGAUCAUAUUAAAUCAUCCUUGGUACACGA